rnacentral:rRNA from 1 species
AGAGUUUGAUCCUGGCUCAGAUUGAACGCUGGCGGCAUGCCUUACACAUGCAAGUCGAACGGCAGCGCGGGAGCAAUCCUGGCGGCGAGUGGCGAACGGGUGAGUAAUACAUCGGAACGUGCCCAAUCGUGGGGGAUAACGCAGCGAAAGCUGUGCUAAUACCGCAUAAGAUCUACGGAUGAAAGCAGGGGAUCGCAAGACCUUGCGCGAAUGGAGCGGCCGAUGGCAGAUUAGGUAGUUGGUGAGGUAAAGGCUCACCAAGCCUUCGAUCUGUAGCUGGUCUGAGAGGACGACCAGCCACACUGGGACUGAGACACGGCCCAGACUCCUACGGGAGGCAGCAGUGGGGAAUUUUGGACAAUGGGCGCAAGCCUGAUCCAGCCAUGCCGCGUGCAGGAUGAAGGCCUUCGGGUUGUAAACCUGGCUUUUGUACGGAACGAAAAGGUUCUUUCUAAUAAAGAGAGCUCAUGACCGGACCGUAAGAAUAAGCAACCGGGUUAACUACCGUGCCAGCAGCCGCGGUA